GUCGCACUGAAAUUGACAAAUAUGAAACGUAGCACUACAAAAAACACAACACCACGUACAAGAUAUAAAUAGAUUUCGGGGAGCGCGCGAACACAGUCCCCCACUACCAGCAAUUAUGCAGUGGAGAUUCCCGCAUUUGGGGAAUUCGCAGGGGUCAGCACAGCCGGAUUGCAAUGGCCGAGCCUCGCCCUGGGCGAACCACCUUCAUGAUCAUGGUAUCUCCCCUGCCAGAUGACGCAGCAACAGCAAAUAUGCAAGCUGGAAAAUAAAACAACAGUGCCCCCAGUGGGUAACACACUUUACUGUCUUUGCUUGCCUUUGAAGGUCAUGACUGCUAUAUGCGCCCCAGCAGCUUUGAGUCUCCUCAGUCCUUCAGGCUCCGAAUUAUUGUCCUCGCAGAAAUACAGACGGGCCGCGAAGAUACGCAGGCGUGAAGCACUCCCAGUUAAAUAGACAACGAUCACUCAGCUCAGGGAGCAGGAGGAUCACACAGUACAGGGAACACCUGCAAGCGUUGGCAUCACAGGCAAUAAACCAGAGAGACCACGCCGCUCUUUUGCCUUACGGCUACAAGAACUGUCCGAAGAUACCCUCAUGGGUAUUAAGGACUAGGACAUACUUCUGAGGGACCAGUUUGUUUAUGGCCUGCGCAAUACCACCUUGAGGUGUGACCUGAGAAUGAAGCUGCUCCUGAGGAGGAUCUCACCUUUGCGGGGGUAAACCAGGAAGUAAUUGCUCAGGUGGAGGUUUAUGGGGAAGAAGAGAUUCCUGUCCAGUCUUGUGGUGUUGAACAGGUUAAAGCCAAGAGUCCUGAUUUGUAACAGGUGAGAGAAGAGUUGCAAAGUGAACUGUUUAGUGCAGUCAGACAGCAGAUGGCAACCUUGUCCCGUGAGUUAAUCCUUAGCAGUCAGUUUAUUCAGUGCUUGUCAGGCACGUCAGGUCCAAUUUAUUUUUACGUGCGCUGUUUAAUUUUUUUUUUUUUUUCA